rnacentral:lncRNA from 1 species
CUGGAACCAUUUGCUGCAAACAAUAUGGGAGUUUAGAGAAGAAUUAUGCAUUGAAGAAGUUCAUUUCAUCCUUGUGCGUUUUCAACCUCAGUAAAAAUAGCCUGAAAUAUUAAUCAAGAAACAUUUGACAGACAUUAAGUGUCUCUGUGAUCUCAGUUUGUCAUGUGGAUAGACCAGAGAAAAACAACUGUUGGUUCUGCAGUCUACGUGGCCUGAGCACAAUACCUGGUGACCAGGGUUACUUUGCAGGAGUGGUUUCCCCCUUGGCUUGUUAAAGUAAUACAUGUGAAAUUCAACAUAAUCAAGCGAAUCGCAGUGAACGUCACCACCCUUAUGACACCCAGUGCUUCUCGAACAGUGGUCAUACAGCACAUUGCAUCCUGGGAAAUGCCUUAGUCAACAGUACUGCUCUUGGGAGAUGGGCAUGUUUCACUAGUAAGAAUCCUCUUGUCUCAUUUAAAACCCGAGAGCCUGGUUUGGGCCAACAUUGUAUAUUCUGUUUGUUCCAGAAAUCCCUAACUGUGUUUGGAAUGUAAAUGUGUCCUUUUCUCUACUACUGAUUGCAUGGGCCAGUUGUAUCUACGCGUCUGAGUCUAUAGAGUUUGUCAUGAAACAAAAACUUGUGACUUAUUAAUUACCUGUGAGUUCUUGCACACCAAAUGAAAAUGUUUGUCAAUGAUUUUGGUGCAGGGUUGGUAAUUUCCUAGUGUUUUGAUUGGGUCUUAAAUGACCUCCUGAGGCUAAAUGAUGACUCUUGUUCCCAGCUGAUGGAGCUCUGGGAAGAUGGUGGGGACCUUCAGGAAGUCUGUCAUUGAGAUCAUGCCCUGUUGGGGGACCUUCCUUCAGUUCUGUUUGCUUCCCAGAUGCCAG